rnacentral:tRNA from 1 species
CAGAUUAUUGCUUAAGAGCUAAUUAUUAUUUACAUUAAUGAUUCAAUUGUGCAAUUCAAUUUAGUCUGA